rnacentral:rRNA from 1 species
GUGAGGAAUAUUGCGCAAUGGAGGCAACUCUGACGCAGCCAUGCCGCGUGCAGGAAGAAGGCGCUACGCGUUGUAAACUGCUUUUAACCGGGAAGAAACCCCAGGACGUGUCCUGGGUUGACGGUACCGGAGGAAUAAGCACCGGCUAACUUCGUGCCAGCAGCCGCGGUAAUACGAAGGGUGCAAGCGUUAUCCGGAUUCAUUGGGUUUAAAGGGUGCGUAGGCGGAGCGUUAAGUCAGUGGUGAAAUCCUGCAGCUUAACUGUAGACUUGCCAUUGAUACGGGCGAUCUUGAGUGCGCUUGAAGGGGGCGGAAUGUGCCGUGUAGCGGUGAAAUGCUUAGAUAUGGCACAGAACACCAAGUGCGAAGGCAGCUCACUAAGGCGAUACUGACGCUGAGGCACGAAAGCGUGGGGAUCGAACAGGAUUAGAAACCCGUGUAGUCC